UUCAUAUUUUAUCGCCGUUUAUUAGGGUUUAUACAUGCCUGACGUUUCGGCUACUUUACAGCAACCAUGGUCACGGGAGGACUAUGGUGACAGACAUCC